CCCUUAGAUGUUCUGGGCCGCACGCGCGCUACACUGACGAAUGCAACGAGCUUAUAACCUUGGCCGAAAGGUCUGGGUAAUCUCCAAAUUUCGUCGUGAUGGGGAUAGAUUAUUGCAAUUAUUAAUCUUCAACGAGGAAUGCCUAGUAAGCGCAAGUCAUCAGCUUGCGUUGAUUUCGUCCCUGCCCUUUGUACACACCGCCCGUCGCUCCUACCGAUUGAAUGGUCCGGUGAAGCGUUCGGACCGUGGCCUUUGGACGGUUCGCCGUCUGUUGGCUGCGGGAAGUUCGUUAAACCUUAUCAUUUAGAGGAAGGAGAAGUCGUAACA
rnacentral:rRNA from 1 species